rnacentral:rRNA from 1 species
UUAAAUUGAAGAGUUUGAUCAUGGCUCAGAUUGAACGCUGGCGGCAGGCCUAACACAUGCAAGUCGAGCGGAAACGACACUAACAAUCCUUCGGGUGCGUUAAUGGGCGUCGAGCGGCGGACGGGUGAGUAAUGCCUAGGAAAUUGCCUUGAUGUGGGGG